GGAUCCAGACUUUGAUCAUGGCUCAGGACGAACGCUGGCGGCGUGCUUAACACAUGCAAGUCGAACGAGAAGAGAUGAGAAGCUUGCUUCUUAUCGAUUCGAGUGGCAAACGGGUGAGUAACGCGUAAGCAACCUGCCCUCUAGAUGGGGACAACAGCUGGAAACGGCUGCUAAUACCGAAUACGUUCUUUCUGCCGCAUGGCAGAAGGAAGAAAGGGAGGCUCUUCGGAGCUUUCGCUGGAGGAGGGGCUUGCGUCUGAUUAGCUAGUUGGAGGGGUAACGGCCCACCAAGGCGACGAUCAGUAGCCGGUCUGAGAGGAUGAACGGCCACAUUGGGACUGAGACACGGCCCAGACUCCUACGGGAGGCAGCAGUGGGGAAUCUUCCGCAAUGGACGAAAGUCUGACGGAGCAACGCCGCGUGAACGAUGACGGCCUUCGGGUUGUAAAGUUCUGUUAUACGGGACGAAUGGUACGACGGUCAAUACCCGUCGUAAGUGACGGUACCGUAAGAGAAAGCCACGGCUAACUACGUGCCAGCAGCCGCGGUAAUACGUAGGUGGCAAGCGUUGUCCGGAAUUAUUGGGCGUAAAGGGCGCGCAGGCGGCGUCGUAAGUCG
rnacentral:rRNA from 1 species